rnacentral:rRNA from 1 species
UACAGAGGUCUCAAGCGUUGUUCGGAUUCAUUGGGCGUAAAGGGUGUGUAGGUGGCGCUGUAAGUCGGGUGUGAAAUUUCGGAGCUUAACUCCGAAACUGCAUUCGAUACUGCGGUGCUUGAGGACUGGAGAGGAGACUGGAAUUCAUGGUGUAGCAGUGAAAUGCGUAGAGAUCAUGAGGAAGACCAGUGGCAAAGGCGGGUCUCUGGACAGUUCCUGACACUGAGACACGAAGGCCAGGGGAGCAAACGGG